rnacentral:rRNA from 1 species
AACGAACGCUGGCGGCGUGCCUAACACAUGCAAGUCGUGCGAGAAAGUUCCUUCGGGAGCGAGUAAAGCGGCGCACGGGUGAGUAACACGUAGGUAACCUGCCCCCCAGUCUGGAACAACUAGAGGAAACUCUAGCUAAUGCCGGAUGAGACCACGAUCCCUUCGGGGGUUGCGGCCAAAGAUGGCCUCUACUUGUAAGCUAUCGCUGAGGGAUGGGCCUGCGGGCCAUUAGCUUGUUGGUGAGGUAACGGCUCACCAAGGCUGUGAUGGCUAGCUGGUCUGAGAGGAUGACCAGCCACACUGGGACUGAGACACGGCCCAGACUCCUACGGGAGGCAGCAGUGGGGAAUAUUGCGCAAUGGGCGAAAGCCUGACGCAGCGACGCCGCGUGGGUGAUGAAGGCCUCGGUCGUAAGACC